rnacentral:rRNA from 1 species
GACGAACGCUGGCGGCGUGCCUAACACAUGCAAGUCGAGCGGAGUCGAUCGACGGAAGCCUUCGGGCGGAAGAUGGUUGACUUAGCGGCGGAUGGGUGAGUAACGCGUGGGCAACCUGCCUCGAAGACCGGGAUAACAGCCCGAAAGGGUUGCUAAUACCGGAUGUGGUCAAGGAUCCGCAUGGAUUUUUGAUUAAAGGGGAAACCCGUUUCGAGAUGGGCCCGCGUCCUAUCAGCUAGUUGGUGAGGUAAAAGCUCACCAAGGCGACGACGGGUAGCCGGCCUGAGAGGGUGACCGGCCACACUGGAACUGAGACACGGUCCAGACUCCUACGGGGGGCAGCAGUGGGGAAUCUUCCACAAUGGGCGAAAGCCUGAUGGAGCGACGCCGCGUGAGCGAAGAAGGCCUUCGGGUUCGUAAAGCUCUGUCUGGAGGGACGAAGGAAGUGACGGUACCUCCGGAGGAAGCCACGGCUAACUACGUG